GUCUACGGCCAUACCACCUUGAAUGUGCCAGAUCUCAUCUGAUCUCAGAAGCUAAGCAGGGUUGUACUGGCUAGUACUUGGAUGGGAGAAAAACAGAACUGCUCUGAAAC
rnacentral:rRNA from 1 species